rnacentral:rRNA from 1 species
GACAGAGGAUGCAAGUGUUAUCCGGAAUCACUGGGCGUAAAGCGUCUGUAGGUGGUUUAAAAAGUCUAUUGUUAAAAAUUGAAGCUUAACUUCAAAGAUGCAAUGGAAACUUUUAAACUUGAGUAUGGUAGGGGUAGAGGGAAUUUCCAGUGGAGCGGUGAAAUGCGUAGAUAUUGGAAAGACCACCAAUGGCGAAGGCACUCUACUGGGCCGAUAUUGACGCUGAGGAGCGAAAGCGUGGGGAGCGAACAGG